rnacentral:rRNA from 1 species
UAGGAGUUUUGAUCAUGGCUCAGAUUGAACGGCGUGGCGGCAGGCCUAACACAUGCAAGUCGAGCGGUAGAAAGUAGCUUGCUACUUUUGAGAGCGGCGGACGGGUGAGUAACGCGUGGGAAUCUACCUGGUAGUGGGGGAUAACUUGGGGAAACUCAAGCUAAUACCGCAUACGCCCUAAGGGGGAAAGGAGGGGCUCUUCGGACCUUUCGCUAUCAGAUGAGCCUGCGUAGGAUUAGCUAGUUGGUAGGGUAAAGGCCUACCAAGGCGACGAUCCUUAGCUGGUCUGAGAGGAUGAUCAGGCCCACCACUGGGACUGAAGACACCGGCCCAGACUCCUACGGGAGGCAGCAGUGGGGAAUAUUGGACAAUGGGGGCAACCCUGAUUCCAGGCCAUGCCGCGUGGUGUGAAGAAAGGCCUUCGGGUUGUAAAGCACUUUCCAGUGGGUGAGGAAGGGUGGAGCAGUUAAUACCUGUUCACCAUUGACGUUAGCCACCAGAAAGAAGCACCGGCUAACUUCCGUGCCAGCAGCCGCGGUAAUACGGAGGGGUGCAAGCGUUAAUCGGGAAUUACUGGGCGUAAAGCGCGCGUAGGUGGUUCAGUCAGUCAGAUGUGAAAUCCCCGGGCUCAACCUGGGAAAUUGCACCUGAUACUGCUGAGCUAGAGUACGGUAGAGGGGAGUGGAAUUUCUAGUGUAGCGGUGAAAUGCGUAGAUAUUAGAAGGAACACCAGUGGCGAAGGCGAUCUCCCUGGACUGAUACUGACACUGAGGUGCGAAAGCGUGGGGAGCAAACAGGAUUAGAUACCCUGGUAGUCCACGCUGUAAACGAUGUCAACUAGCCGUUGGGACACUAGCUGUCUUAGUGGCGAAGCUAACGCGAUAAGUUGACCGCCUGGGGAGUACCGAGUCGCAAGAUUAAAACUCAAAUGAAUUGACGGGGGCCCGCACAAGCGGUGGAGCAUGUGGUUUAAUUUCGACGCAACGCGAAGAACCCUUACCUACUCUUGACAUCCACGGAAGACUGCAGAGAUGCGGUUGUGCCUUCGGGAACCGUGAGAACAGGUGCUGCAUGGCUGUCGUCAGCUCGUGUUUGUGAAAUGUUGGGUUAAGUCCCGUAACGAGCGCAACCCUUGUCCUUACUUGCCAGCGGGUAAUGCCGGGAACUUUAAGGAGACUGCCGGUGACAAACCGGAGGAAGGUGGGGACGACGUCAAGUCAUCAUGGCCCUUACGAGUAGGGCUACCACACGUGCUACAAUGGCCGGUACAGAGGGCCGCGAUACCGCGAGGUGGAGCAAAUCUCAGAAAACCGGUCGUAGUCCGGAUCGCAGUCUGCAACUCGACUGCGUGAAGUCGGAAUCGCUAGUAAUCGCGAAUCAGAAUGUCGCGGUGAAUACGUUCCCGGGCCUUGUACACACCGCCCGUCACACCAUGGGAGUGGGUUGCACCAGAAGUAGCUAGUCUAAC